rnacentral:rRNA from 1 species
GCAGCAGCCGCGGGAAUACAGAGGGUGCGAGCGUUAAUCGGAUUUACUGGGCGUAAAGCGUGCGUAGGCGGCUUUUUAAGUCGGAUGUGAAAUCCCUGAGCUUAACUUAGGAAUUGCAUUCGAUACUGGGAAGCUAGAGUAUGGGAGAGGAUGGUAGAAUUCCAGGUGUAGCGGUGAAAUGCGUAGAGAUCUGGAGGAAUACCGAUGGCGAAGGCAGCCAUCUGGCCUAAUACUGACGCUCAGGUGCGAAAGCGUGGGGAGCAAACAGGAUUAGAUACCCCCGUAGUCCCUGUCUCUUAUAC